rnacentral:rRNA from 1 species
AGUGAACGCUGGCGGCAGGCCUAAUACAUGCAAGUCGAACGGCAGCACAGUAAGAUCUCGCCCUUACGGGUGGCGAGUGGCGGACGGGUGAGGCAUAGAUCGGAAUCUACUUUUUCGUGGGUGAUUACGUAGGGAAACUGAUGCUAAUAGCGCAUAUGACCUACGGGUGAGAGCAGGGGAUCAUCGGACCUUGCGUGAUUGAAUGAGCCGAUGCCGGAUUAGCUAGUUGGCAGGGUAACGGCCCACCAAGGCGACGAUCCGUAGCUGAUCUGAGAGGGUGAUCAGCCACACUGGAACUGAGACACGGUCCAGACUCCUACGGGAGGCAGCAGUAGGGAAUCUUGCGCAAUGGGCGAAAGCCUGAUGCAGCCACGCCGCGUGAGUGAUGAAGGUCUUCGGAUUGUAAAGCCCUUUUAUUAGGGAAGAACAGCUGUGUAAUUAUCCCUCGAUGUUCUGACGGUACCCAAUCAGAAAGCCCCGGCUAACUUCGUG